CCUACGGGUGGCAGCAGUGAGGAAUAUUGGUCAAUGGACGAGAGUCUGAACCAGCCAAGUAGCGUGAAGGAUGACUGCCCUAUGGGUUGUAAACUUCUUUUAUAAAGGAAUAAAACGAGGCACGUGUGCCUUUUUGCAUGUACUUUAUGAAUAAGGAUCGGCUAACUCCGUGCCAGCAGCCGCGGUAAUACGGAGGAUCCGAGCGUUAUCCGGAUUUAUUGGGUGUAAAGGGAGCGUAGAUGGGUUGUUAAGUCAGUUGUGAAAGGUUGCGGCUCAACCGUAAAAUUGCAAUUGAUACUGGCAGUCUUGAGUACAGUUGAGGUAGGCGGAAUUCGUGGUGUAGCGGUGAAAUGCUUAGAUAUCACGAAGAACCCCGAUUGCGAAGGCAGCUUACUAAACUGUGACUGACAUUGAUGCUCGAAAGUGUGGGUAUCAAACAGGAUUAGAUACCCGAGUAGUC
rnacentral:rRNA from 1 species